rnacentral:rRNA from 1 species
CCUACGGGCGGCAGCAGUGGGGAAUAUUGCACAAUGGGGGAAACCCUGAUGCAGCGACGCCGCGUGAGUGAAGAAGUAUUUCGGUAUGUAAAGCUCUAUCAGCAGGGAAGAAAAUGACGGUACCUGAUUAAGAAGCCCCGGCUAACUCCGUGCCAGCAGCCGCGGUAAUACGUAGGGGGCAAGCGUUAUCCGGAUUUACUGGGUGUAAGGGGAGCGUAGACGGCAGCACAAGUCUGGAGUGAAAUGCCGGGGCUUAACCCCGGAACUGCUUUGGAAACUGUGCAGCUAGCGGGCAUGAGAGGGAAGUGGAAUUCCUGGUGUAGCGGUGAAAUGCGUAGAUAUUAGGAGGAACCCCAGUGGCGAAGGCGGCUUACUGGACUGGAACUGACGUUGAGGCUCGAAAGCGUGGGAGCAAACAGGAUUAGAUACCCCUGUAGUC